rnacentral:tRNA from 1 species
GCCUGCCUGGCUCAGUUGGUAAAGCAUGCCACUCUUGAUCUUGGGGUCAUGGGUUCAAGCCCCAUGUUGGGCA